GAUGAACGCUGGCGGCGUGCUUAACACAUGCAAGUCGAACGGUAACAGGAGGAGCUUGCUUGUCGAGUGGCAGCGGGGGACGUGAUAGUAACACACGUAUAACCUGCCGGGGAGUAACGGAUAAAAACGUGAACUAGUAGCUAAUACGGGCUAAUGUAUGGAGCGGGAUGGGGCGAUGGAGAAAUUCGCUUCUGCCGUUUGGUGUGGGCGGUGCCGCGUCGCAUUAUCUAGUUGGUAAGGUAACGGCUUACCAAGGCAACGAUGCGUAGCGGACCUGAGAGGACGACCAGCCACACUGGAACUGAGACACGGCCCAGACUCCUACGGGAGGCAGCAGUGGGGUAUCUUCGACAAUGGGCGCAAGCCUGACGCAGCAACGCCGCGUGAGGGAAGAAGGCCUUCGGAUCGUAAAACGCUGUUGUUAGGAAAGAAAAGGUGUCUGAGUAACUCUGGCGGUAUUGACGGUACCUGAAGAAAAAGCACCGGCUAACUACGUG
rnacentral:rRNA from 1 species